rnacentral:lncRNA from 1 species
AAUUAUGUACGUAUGAUUUUUGGGCUUAUUUGUAACGGGUUUAAACUGUGACAAAAUUAUAUUGGUCACGGAUCGAAAUCCAUUACUAUACUGACGGAUGGUAUUUAUGAUAGUUACGGAUUCUAGUUUACGUGAUUAUUAUUUUUAAAAAGAGUAACUAUGCUGUCAAGCUGUCAUCGACUUCUUCACUUCGUUACCCCCCAAACCCAAAAAGAAAGUUCUUCAGAUCUGCUUUUUCCAGAAACAAAUCUCCAUUUUUCAUUCAGUGUUCGUACAAAAUACACAACUAAUUAACAAUUUUGCGUUUCCAUAUACAAAAAUUAGUAGAAAUUACAAGAGUAAAACUCAAACAAGAAUAGCAUCCAUCCCGACUCAAACUAACAAAUGCCCAUUAGCUUCAGCGAGCAUGAUUGUAUCUUCAAUGAUCCUUUCAGCAAAACUUAAAAUAAAGAAAAAGAUAUGAACUAUGUUAUCAUUCAAAGAAGAAACUCAAAUAAGUAUAUUGAUUCCAAAUUAUGAAAUCAGAUCAGUAGAGGAAAGCCUGAUGAAGAGAAAACAAAUAUAAGAAACCACAGUGUAAAGUGGUUCAGAGAAGUUCCUUUCAUCUCACCUUUAGCUGAUUAUUAGGAGCCUCCGGUCUAGAUCUAUUCAAGACCUCCUUUUUCAUCCUAAGCGAGUUCAUGUGCUAUCUCAACAAACAAAAUCGACGAUUUCUUCUCUGGGAUUACUCUCCGUUCCAUUCACCGUAACUAAAAGAUAAAAGAAUUGAUAGAAAUUUUGGUAGAGGAAUGGAAACGAAGAUGAAAAGAAAAUUGUGGGAAGAAAAUGAUACGGGAAGAUAGGUGGGAAAGAAAAAAGUGAGAGAUAGAGUCAGCUGGGUGAAAGAGGGAGAGAGAUAAAAAUGGUAAGAAAAAGUGAGAG